GUUGCUACUUGUAGUUUACUACUGUUGGAAAUAAUAGGCAGCGGAAACUUACAAACCGGAUAGCCAACGUAUCCGGAAACCGGAAUCGGAUCGGGUUGCUCGUUUACAAGCCUUCUUGGAUCGUCCUUGUCUCGAUGCUUCUGGAUCUCCCACGUUUCUCGUCUUCUUCCACGCGUACGCCUUACGUCACGGAACGGAUCGCCUUACGUCACGGAUGCCAAUCGGAGAGGGCUACCAGAGUCCUCUCCUAUGUCUACGCUUUAAAACCCCGGGAACGUAGGUAGAAAUCCCAGAGAGAAAGAAGAGAGAGAAGAAGGAGGAUUUUGUGGAUUCUCGAAUUAGAUCGCAUUCGAUCGUCUCUUCUACAGGAGAAAACGGGGCGUAUAUAUAUAGAAUAAUGGAACCCCUAAAUAUCUUGAAUCUCAUUAGGAUUAGGAUUGGGAUAUUUAUUAACAUAUAAUAAAUAUUCAUUAUAAGAUAUGUUUCUUAACUGAUAAGAAACAUAUAAUUUAUAAUUAUCCUAAACUUAUUUGGAUAAAUCAUGAUCCACAACUUAUGUGGAUCGGGUCAAAUCAUAACCCGCCAAUGUGGACACACCAUAUGGCAACAAUCUCCUACUUGGCCACAUUGGCCAACUCUCUCUCACUCAUUUGUCUCUUCAUACGGGUAAUCGAGCAUGCGACCUGACGAAAGAACCACAUGCAGGAGUGCUAAAUUAAGUCACCACCAAACUAAUAUAGCACAUCACUGACUUAAUUCGUCUAUGCCCUAGACGUUUCAACACACACCGGAUCAAGCAUCACAAAGUCCCUCUCCUGUAAUGACAGGACUCGACCCCACCGUUAUUUCUCGUACUCAUGAUUAUCUCAAGUAACACAACCGAGAUAACCGCCCGGGCAAUGAGUCACAAGACUUACGUGGUGU
rnacentral:lncRNA from 1 species